UUUUAUGGAGAGUUUGAUCCUGGCUCAGGAUGAACGCUGGCGGCGUGCCUAAUACAUGCAAGUCGAGCGAACGGACGAGAAGCUUGCUUCUCUGAUGUUAGCGGCGGACGGGUGAGUAACACGUGGAUAACCUACCUAUAAGACUGGGAUAACUUCGGGAAACCGGAGCUAAUACCGGAUAAUAUUUUGAACCGCAUGGUUCAAAAGUGAAAGACGGUCUUGCUGUCACUUAUAGAUGGAUCCGCGCUGCAUUAGCUAGUUGGUAAGGUAACGGCUUACCAAGGCAACGAUG
rnacentral:rRNA from 1 species